rnacentral:rRNA from 1 species
GAUGAACGCUGGCGGUAUGCCUUACACAUGCAAGUCGAACGAAAAUUAGCUUCGGUUAAUUUUAGUGGCGGACGGGGGAGUAACACUUGAGAAUUUUCCUUUAGGAGGGGGAUAACGAGUGGAAACAUUCGCUAAAACCCAAUAUGCCAACGGGUGAAAAAGAGAAAACUCUGCCUGAAGAGAAGCUCGCGGCUGAUUAGCUAGUUGGUAGGGUAAUGGCCUACCAAGGCGACGAUCAGUAGCUGGUCUGAGAGGACGAUCAGCCACACUGGAACUGAGACACGGUCCAGACUCCUACGGGAGGCAGCAGUGAGGAAUUUUCUGCAAUGGGCGAAAGCCUGACAGAGCAAUACCGCGUGAGGGAUGAAGACUUACUGAGUUGUAAACCUCGGUGCCUUAAGGAAGAAGAUCUGACGGUACUUAAGGUGGAAAGCAUCGGCUAACUCCGUGCCAGCAGCCGCCGUAAAAC